GUAGGUGAACCUGCGGAAGGAUCAUUACAGAGUAUCAUGCCCUUCGGGGUAGAUCUCCACCCUUGAAUAACAUACCUUUGUUGCUUUGGCAGGACGCACUCGUGCCAGGGGCUUCGGCUCUUGAGUGCCUGCCAGAGGACCUAAACUCUGUUUGUCUAUAAUGUCUGAGUACUAUAUAAUAGUUAAAACUUUCAACAACGGAUCUCUUGGUUCUG
rnacentral:misc_RNA from 1 species